CGCGUAGGCGGCACGGUAAGCGGCGGGUGAAAUCCCGGGGCUCAACCCCGGAACUGCUCGCCGAACUGCCGAGCUUGAGUGCGGGAGAGGAGAGCGGAAUUCCUGGUGUAGCGGUGAAAUGCAUAGAUAUCAGGAGGAACACCCGUGGCGAAGGCUGCUCUCUGGAACGCAACUGACGCUGAGGCGCGAAAGCUGGGGGAGCGAACG
rnacentral:rRNA from 1 species